GCAAGUCGAACGAGUAAGUGCUGUACUUGUACAGAUUACUGCUAGUGGCAGACGGGGGAGUAAUACAUGGGAAUCUGCCCUGGAGUCAAGGAUAACAGUUGGAAACGACUGCUAAUACUUGAUAUAGCCGAGAGGUGAAAUAUUUAUCGCUCCAGGAUGAGCCCAUGCAAGAUUAGCUAGUUGGUAAGGUAAGGGCUUACCAAGGCUACGAUGUUUAGCUGGUUUGAGAGGAUGAUC
rnacentral:rRNA from 1 species